GGGGUUCAUUUUAGAUACACAACACCAUCCAAGAGAGAGUUAGAGCUCCACUCCAAAGGCUAAACCUUGCCUCACUUGUGCUUAGAAUAGGGAGAGAGUGAGGGGUAGUUUAGGAGGAGUGUUGGGGUGUCAGCACUCUCCUUCGAGCUUGUAACUCUACGGAUGCUAGCUUCCUUUGAGUAAAGUAAGUUCGUAUACAUGAUUCCUUCUUAUAGUGUUAUACUUGGUUCUUAAAUACAUGAGUAGUCUAAGAUUCUUGCUAUGUUUAUACGCUUGGCUUAUAUGCUCGUAUGUUAGUCAUAUAUCCUUGCUAUGAUAAUAUAGGCUUGUAUGCUCUCAUGUAUGCCUUGAGAUCUUGAUAUAGUAUACACUAGUAGUAUCUAUAUUUAAGUGAGAUCAGUUCUCUCACUUGCGGGUUCAUCGCUCUGUAUUUAUACAGAGUGUUGUAGGUUUG
rnacentral:lncRNA from 1 species